GGAAAACUGCGGGUGGGUAAUAACAGUCCUUGAUCUCCAUCGAAGCUGAGCGGGUGUAAAGCGAAAUUGGUGCUGUUCAUAUAAGAAUAUGAACAGCACCAAUUUCUUCAAAAGACUUCGUCUAUUUGAGCAGAAUAUCAAGAGACCAACUGUGCAUAAUUAACUGGAUUGCUAAUGUUACUCAGAGGCUGACAGAUGUCUUCUCCGAAACAAAAACAUAAAAAGUCUUCGUAUACGUCUGAACCACUCCUGAGAUAUUUCUCACGGCAGCAGGACUUCGUAGAAGGUGAGCACUGAAAACAUACAAAAUAACAUUUAAUUCACUCACUCACUCACUCGCUUCAAAUAGUGCUCCACGGAAUCAAACAUGGGAGCACGUCUCAAUGUAUACGAGGCAUGCCGGAAACUUGUGGUGGGUAAUAUCAUUCCCUGAUCUCCAUCGAAGCUGAGCGAGUGUCUGAAUUGUUGAUCCGGAAAACAGUCAUUUAUCUACUGGCUAAAGAUUACGGUACUUCACUGGCAUUGUGUUAUAGUUGCAUCGGUGAUACAAUGAAACUGCGGUAUUGUUCGGAUACAGUGUUAGAGGUGACUGUUCAAAACAGCAAGUCAUCAAAGCACCGAAAGAAUGAUGAACACUUUUUUGUAUGCGGUUUUGCUGGGAUUCGUCUGGGCUUCUAUUGUUGAGUUGAGCCAGAAGACGACAUGGACUGCAUUGCAAAUUAUACAAAUUGUUCACAUUCUACGAAGCCCUGCUGCCGUGAAAAAUACCUCAGGAGUGAUUCAGA